AGAAUCGACGCUGGCGGCGUGCCUAACACAUGCAAGUCGAACGAGAAAGUGGAGCAAUCCAUGAGUAAAGUGGCGCACGGGUGAGUAACACGUGACUAACCUACCCUCGAGUGGGGAAUAACCUCGGGAAACCGGGGCUAACACCGCAUAACAUCUACGGAUCAAAUGCGUAAGCAGCUUGAGGAGGGGGUCGCGGCUGAUUAGCUAGUUGGCGGGGUAAUGGCCCACCAAGGCAGUGAUCAGUA
rnacentral:rRNA from 1 species